rnacentral:tmRNA from 1 species
GGGGGUGACAUGGCUUCGACGUGGGUCGCGAAACUCCGGGUGCAUGCCGAGGAACAGAUGACCUCGUAAAUCCAGCUGUAAAACUUAUAGUUGCCAACGACGACAACUACGCACUAGCU